rnacentral:rRNA from 1 species
GGACUACAGGGGUUUCUAAUCCUGUUUGCUCCCCACGCUUUCGCGCCUCAGCGUCAGUUACGGUCCAGAGAGCCGCCUUCGCCACCGGUGUUCUUCCCAAUAUCUACGAAUUUCACCUCUACACUGGGAAUUCCACUCUCCUCUCCCGUACUCGAGCCCUCGAGUAUCAAGUGCACCUCCCAGGUUGAGCCCGGGGCUUUCACACCUGACUGCAAGAGCCGCCUGCGCGCCCUUUACGCCCAGUAAUUCCGAACAACGCUCGCCCCCUUCGUAUUACCGCGGCGGCUGGCAC